rnacentral:misc_RNA from 1 species
GAAAGAUAACAAUGCAAUGAGAACCAGACAACAUCUAGCAGAAAAGAUUAGCUUGAUUCUAAAUGGAUGACAUUACAAAAGAACUUUGAAUUAAAAUGAGCAAUAAUAAGCCAGAACUUCUCUAUUCAACAUUUUAUUGUUGAUGAGAAAAGGAUACUUCAAGAAAAAAGUUAGAACAAGCCAGUAAUGUGAACGUAUUAUCGCGUCACAGCAGCUAUUGUGCAACAUAAACAGUAACAACUUGCUCUAAUUUGAGAAAUUUGAUAUCUGCACCAGCAAGAGUAGUGAAGUGAUUACAUGGUAUAGAUACAUCUAUCAGUUUUGCUCUUCAGCAGCGUAGAGAUUCUUGAUCUCCUCAACGUCAUCAUAACUACCAAGAAAUAUAGGAGAGCGUUCGUGUAUCUUCUCUGGAACUAAGUCAAGUGCCCGUUGCUUCCCAGUAAAUGCUUGACCUCCUGCUUGUUCCAUCAGAAAUGACAUGGGAAAUACUUCAUAGAGAACCCUCAGCUUCCCGUUGGGGCUUUUCUUAUCUCCGGGGUACAAGAAGAUGCCUCCAUAGAGUAAUGUACGAUGAACAUCAGCAACCAUACUUCCAAUAUAUCUCAAAGAUUUAGGUGAAGAACCAUCAGCGGGAUACUUGCAGUUCUGCACAUAUUUGGAUGUUGGACCAUCCCAGUUCUUGGCAUUUCCUUCAUUCACUGAAUAAAUCUUCCCUUUCUUAGGAAUCUUGAUGUCAGCAUGAGUUAGGAUGAACUCGCCAAGAGAGGGAUCAAGGGUAAAACCAUUAACUCCAGAUCCAGUGCUCAAAACUAGCGUACAAGAACUUCCAUACAUGCAGUAUCCAGCAGCUAA